CUCUCCAUCACUAACUGCCACUGAUCCCUGUCUGCUCUAAUCCCUCUCUUCAUCCCUAACUGCCAUCAAUCACUGUCUACUCCUAUCUCGCUCUACAUUACUAACUGCAACUGAGCCCUGUCUGUUCCUAUCCUUGUUCUCUGGGAACUGGGGCCAGGGCAGGACUGAUCAACCAGGUUACUCGGAAAUAAAUUUGCGACAGUGCGCAGACACGGGGUGACAGUCAGGAGGGGAAGCAUUCCCAUUACUGCCAGUCACUGCAUAUAGAGUAGCUAGGCCACGGACUGGGGGGAGGGAGCUUCUGUUUCCUGCCAGACUAGGGCGAUGGAGUGAGACACAUGGAGAGGCUAAGAGCAAAUGAGACACAUGGAGUGGUUGGGGGGAAAUGACACGUGGCGGAACAGACCUCGCCAAGUGUUCUUGGAGGGGGCUGCUUGCCCGCCUCCUACCUUCUGACUAUGGCCCUGGGAUAUAUGGCAUUUGAAUACACUAUUUGUGCACUGUGACAAAACUGGAGAUUGUGCACAAAUAUGACUAUUGUUCAUCUUUUUUAUGUUUCCCUUCAUUGUUGCACUGUUCCCCAUGUGUUUCAUCUGUUGGUUCGGCUGGAUAGACUACCAGACAAACUGUGGAGUUAGUGGGUGGCCACCAUUUCAUGUAUUAGAGGCACAUGGUGAGAACAAUGGAUGAAGCACAUGGUGAGAACAAUGGAUGGCGACCAUUUUAACUCACAGACACUGUUUGGACUUUUCUACACGGUGCCAUCUCGCCAGUAUUUGGUGCACAAAGACAUCGUUCAGUAGUUUUAAACUAUACAACAGGGGACACAUUAUACAGUGAUUGUUUUUCAUAUAGCCUGUAUAUGUUCUGCGGAAUCUGCAUUAAACUGUAUCUUACAAACUACUGAACGGAUCUGGGUGAAUUUUGGAUAUAUAUUUUUUAUGGGGUUAUUGCAUGUUUUGGGG